CCUACGGGUGGCUGCAGUGGGGAAUAUUGCACAAUGGGCGCAAGCCUGAUGCAGCCAUGCCGCGUGUGUGAAGAAGGCCUUCGGGUUGUAAAGCACUUUCAGCGGGGAGGAAGGCGGUGAGGUUGAUAACCUCAUCGAUUGACGUUACCCGCAGAAGAAGCACCGGCUAACUCCGUGCCAGCAGCCGCGGUAAUACGGAGGGUGCAAGCGUUAAUCGGAGUUACUGGGCGUAAAGCGCACGCAGGCGGUCUGUCAAGUCGGAUGUGAAAUCCCCGGGCUCAACCUGGGAACUGCAUUCGAAACUGGCAGGCUAGAGUCUUGUAGAGGGGGGUAGAAUUCCAGGUGUAGCGGUGAAAUGCGUAGAGAUCUGGAGGAAUACCGGUGGCGAAGGCGGCCCCCUGGACAAAGACUGACGCUCAGGUGCGAAAGCGUGGGGAGCAAACAGGAUUAGAUACCCGAGUAGUC
rnacentral:rRNA from 1 species